rnacentral:rRNA from 1 species
UAGCCGGACGCGUUAAUCGGGUGUGAUGUACUUCUAUAGAUCGCAAGGUGGUGGCGUGUGCAUAUUUACUCGCUGGUUUUGGGAUCAGGUAAGAAGGGGUGGCGGCGGAACGGGGGAGAGCGGCCUAACGGCGAGGCGCAGGUGGCUUCUUAGUGGUUACCGAGGCUGCAGCUUCUACCGCGAGCCGUAUUUCGCCCGCAGCUCUAGCGUGUGGAUGGUGGCGGCGCCCGAAACCCGGUAGUUCCGGUUCGUGCCGCCGCGGAACGGGUUCCGGCUCUUCGGCCGGCGGCAGCGGCUCGGGUUCAAGAUAGGGCGACUACUACAGUUCGGUGCGUGGCACUCGUGUGCGUUCGGGGUAGGGUGGUUCGAGUCUAGCUGGUAGUGUGGCCCGUGCCACGACUAGGACGAGCGCCCCUCCAUGUACCCUUUCGCGCACCACAAGGAGUUCGUCGAGGUCAGGCCGGAAGAGGAGUAGUGACCUGGAAAGUUCUAGUUACCGCACGGUUAGGCGUCUCACUUGGUCCGAAUGCAGUAACGGUGUAGGUGUUUCCAGCUGUAGAGAUUCCAAUUACACGUCUUCAAACUACUGUUCAUGAAGCGAUCCCUCUUCUUCUGAUCCCGUUUCUUCUGACUCCCGCUCGAUAAACUCAGCCUAUUCCUCCGUUGGUUCUUAAACGGUCUGAAGUUCUUCCUACUGGUCUUCCAGUAACUGCGACUCAACUAGUUCCGAUAGCUACGACAGGGUCUGGAAUUUUUAAUAGAACCACGGGCCAAGAGGGAGUCCCUACCGCUGUUCGGCGUACUCUACUGGAAGAUUCAAUGGACCAUGUUCAAAGUUCUAGACACCUUCAGAAAAAACAGAUCACACACAAGACCAAGACAUGAAGACUAAAGAAAACGGACCAACCACUUAUAAACUAAAGGUGACUUCAGACGGACAGUUUAUAAAACUCUUCUAUUGAUCCUUCAUGGUAGGGGAAACAACCGAACAACACUGUAAAAGAACUAGGUAGCAGCAUAAUAAGUCCGACGUUAAGCUCAGUUACAAAAUAGAAGACUAGUAACACGUACUGCGGUACGAAACCGUGUCCACAACACCAUACUUAAACGUUCAUCCAGUUGUCAUAUACCACUAGGAAUAAACGUCUCGAACCUGUCACCACACUAAAGCAACCCCGUACAGUCAUCAGACGUUGUUAGGCAAGGGGAUUUUCACGAGGUCGUCUAGAACAUUUGCACUCAUACCAAAUCCCUUUCAACCCAGUUUUUUCUCGUUGUCUAGAACAUUAGAAGAAACUUGCUGUGAAUAAGACCGUCUCACGCAUGUUAGACUAUGAGGGAGACUACACUUUAUACAAAACACCAAAUUUAAGUUAGAAGAAACUUGAUUUUGGCGUUGUGAAUACAACCGUGAAUACCUUCGUAACAUUGCCUAACCAUAAACCUGGCUGCUCCCAUUCGAACUGUCACGGGUAGAAUUGAUCAGUCCAGAAACUACUCGAAUCCAGGACCCAAUCUCGCCCUCGUGUUCCUCAAUCGUAGAAAACACUCAUCACCAGCACAUCAUCCUCACCUCCAUCGACCCGGCCGACCACGAACACACACGACGAUCUCGGAACUACAUUAGUAUGAGAACAUGUAUAAAGACGGAGGAUAUUUCGGUUC